rnacentral:rRNA from 1 species
CGGCCGCGGUAUCCUAACCGUGCGAAGGUAGCGCAAUCAAUUGUCCCAUAAAUCGAGACUUGUAUGAACGGCCAAACGAGGUCUUAACUGUCUCCUGCAAGUAAUCAGUGAAAUUAGUACCCUCGUGCAAAAACGAGAAUGUGAUCAUAAGACGAGAAGACCCUGUGGAACUUUAAAAUCACGACCACCCUUCAACUAACACAAACCCAUCGGACUUACCUAUAUAAAGUACCUGGUCGAUAUUUUUCGGUUGGGGCGACCUUGGAGAAAAAUAAACCCUCCAAACCUCAGACCACAACUCUUCACUAAGACCAACCCAUCAAAGUACUAACAGUAAUCAGACCCAAUAUAAUUGAUCAAUGGACCAAGCUACCCCAGGGAUAACAGCGCAAUCUCCUCCAAGAGCCCAUAUCGACAAGGAGGUUUACGACCU